GAUGAACGCUGGCGGCGUGCUUAACACAUGCAAGUCGAACGAAGCACCUUGAUUUGAUUCUUCGGAUGAAGAUCUUGGUGACUGAGUGGCGGACGGGUGAGUAACGCGUGGGUAACCUGCCUCAUACAGGGGGAUAACAGUUAGAAAUGACUGCUAAUACCGCAUAAGACCACAGCACCGCAUGGUGCAGGGGUAAAAACUCCGGUGGUAUGAGAUGGACCCGCGUCUGAUUAGGUAGUUGGUGGGGUAACGGCCUACCAGGCCGACGAUCAGUAGCCGACCUGAGAGGUGACCGGCCACAUUGGGACUGAGACACGGCCCAAACUCCUACGGGAGGCAGCAGUGGGGAAUAUUGCACAAUGGGGGAAACCCUGAUGCAGCGACGCCGCGUGAGCGAUGAAGUAUUUCGGUAUGUAAAGCUCUAUCAGCAGGGAAGAAAAUGACGGUACCUGACUAAGAAGCACCGGCUAAAUACGUGCCAGCAGCCGCCGUAA
rnacentral:rRNA from 1 species